rnacentral:rRNA from 1 species
AUGAUCCGGAAUGGCUUGGCUGUGGGUCACGAGCUUCAUCGACGUCGGAUCAAGCCAGGUGUCUUUUGUGCCGCUUGUGGAAGGGAGGAAACUGUUCUUCACAGAUUUUGGGCCUGCCCACACUCCUCCCAGUUCUGGCAGCGUGUGUCUUCAGAGAAGGGCGUCGCGGUGGCAGCCCCACCGCUUCCUAUGGACUCCCAGAAGGCACUUUUGAACUGGUUACCCAGGUGGUUUGUGGGCACAAAUGAUGAGGAGAAAGAAGUUAUGGUUCAUGCAACGUACGGGCUGUGGCUUGCCCGCAAUGACACCAGGGAUGGAAGAAGAAUUGCUCAUCCACAUGAGAUUGCUGAGGGGUCUACUCGCAUGAUGGAGCGGCGAAGCACUCAUGCAGGGGAGGUGCAGGUCCCGAAGCCCAGGUGUGUGCAGAAAUGGGAGCCGCCGGCUCCGGGAUGGGUGAAGGUGAACUCGGACGGUACUAUUUCAAGGCAAGGGAACAAGGGAGGAGGAGAAGCGGUGCUUCGAGACCACAAUGGCACUUUUAGGGCUGGAGUGAGUCAUUUUCUCCCAAACAUUACUGACCCUGAAGCUACAAAGAUUCUAGCAUGCAGGCGGGGUUUGCAGCUUGCAGUUGAACUUGGGGUUCAGCGAGUCCAUCUUGAGCUCCACAGCAAGGCUGUGGUGCAAAUGUUGAUGCUUCCUGAAAGGUGUUUGGCUGUUGUAGGGCCGUGGAUUCAAGAGAUUAAAGAGCUGCUCAGCUCGUGCGUGGAGUUUCGCAUGGACUGGGUUCGCCGUUCUGCCAACGUUGCCGCGCAUAAGUUCGCAAAGGUAGGAGUGGGUGCUGAGUUAUGUAAGGUGUGGUUUGGGGUCUCCCCUGACUUUGUUCUUUCUGUAAUCACUGAUGACAUUUCCAGCUUCGCUGGUUAA